UCCAAGUAAGCCAAAUGAUCUUUUUAAUGGAAUAAAAAAACAUAAAGUAAUGCUAUGUAUUCAAAGGAGGAAAUGAGCCAACUUUGGCCAAGGUCCAUCAGGUCACUGAGAACCAGCUUCCUCAGCUAGAACAACUGAAAACCAAGACAGCAAGUGCCUUCCUGAGGCCCAGCCAGGGCCCCAGAAAUUGCAAAACAGAGGCUCAUUAUGAGGUCAUAGCAAGUAAUCAACCAAUCGAGGACAGGGAUUAUCAGUCCUAUCUCUGUUUACAAAAGAGUUCUCACACUGUCUGGAAUCCCUUUACUCUUACUGAUGACGUCAAAUGGCUUUCUUCAUGCCUGGACAGACAGUCCCAUUGCGUGGACGAAAAAAGGCCUGGGAUGUCACUGAAUUUAGCAGCCAGAUCAUAGCAAGACAGAAGGGAGAAAAUGCAUAGACAACACUUCAGUGACUCACUCAUGUUUGAUGAAAGCUGGGAGGAGGCCUGGAGAAUCCAAGCUACAAGCACAAAACGUACAAAUACUGGAAUCUCCCAUCAAGAGAAGGAAAUUUAGCCACCUAUCUGGUUUGUCAUUUUGCUGAACUUCCACUGAAGGAGGAAGGGCCAGCUUUAAACUCCACCCACCCUUUCCACAUCCUUCUCAAUUUUUGCUUUGAUGGGAAAGUGGGGAAACUGGCGGCCCCACCAUGGCUAAAAGAGAAUCAAAUCCUUUCUAUACUUCCUCUCAAAGCAGAGGCCUAGUAGCUCCAGUCCACAGCUUAACCAAGCAGAGGGAAUAGGGGCUUGUCCUGGUUACUGUAGGAAAGCCUCAUCAGGCAGUCUCAGGGAAGGAAGAUGACCACCCUCCUCACCCUUUCCAUCUGCUGAGGUUACUUCAUUCCAAUCCAUUAAUGGGCUUCAAAGUGCUGCUGGGGGGAGUCCAUUUAGCAGAGAAGCUAUCACGGGGCCAAAGGUGGCGCCCACCCCCUACCCCAUUUGUCGAUAAUGGGCCACAAAGUCUGAGGCUUGGCUGCACUCUAGACAUAAAAUAUUCAUUCAAGUCGACAUAAUACAUAAGUAGGAACCUCAUGGAAGCUCCUGGGAGAAGAGAAAUGCCAGCCAGGUGGCUAAGUGCUCAAUGGGAAAGAGUUCAUGAAGGCCUGGGUUAGUCCUGAUCAAAUGCCCACUGAGAAUUGGGUUGUUCUGUCCAAAGGGGAAACAAUCUAGUCUGAGAAGUUCUGACUCCCAAAAGCUCGAACCCUGCAAACCUCUUAGGCAAGCAAAGUCUCAAUCUUUUCCUACCUCAUAGGCACCAACUCUGCUUAGGACAUUUAUGCUGAGAAAAAUCUCCAGCCCAAACUUUGGUUGGUCUGAAAGAUUAAGUUAUCCUUGUGCAAACUUUAUUUUAAUCUGCAGCAGGCCGAGUUUCAACAACUGUCUUAUAUCCAUCUGUUUAGCUACUUUCCGAAGUCCAUAAAUUGGAGAAAAGUAAUUUUUUUUUUCUGAGAUAGUGUCUUGCUC
rnacentral:lncRNA from 1 species